rnacentral:rRNA from 1 species
GACGAACGCUGGCGGCGUGCCUAAUACAUGCAAGUUGAGCGCUGAAGGUUGGUACUUGUACCGACCGGAUGAGCAGCGAACGGGUGAGUAACGCGUGGGGAAUCUGCCUUUGAGCGGGGGACAACAUUUGGAAACGAAUGCUAAUACCGCAUAAAAACUUUAAACACAAGUUUUAAGUUUGAAAGAUGCAAUUGCAUCACUCAAAGAUGAUCCCGCGUUGUAUUAGCUAGUUGGUGAGGUAAAGGCUCACCAAGGCGAUGAUACAUAGCCGACCUGAGAGGGUGAUCGGCCACAUUGGGACUGAGACACGGCCCAAACUCCUACGGGAGGCAGCAGUAGGGAAUCUUCGGCAAUGGACGAAAGUCUGACCGAGCAACGCCGCGUGAGUGAAGAAGGGUUUCGGAUCGUAAAACUCUGUUGGUAGAGAAGAACGUUGGUGAGAGUGGAAAGCUCAUCAAGUGACGGUAACUACCCAGAAAGGGACGGCUAACUACGUG